rnacentral:rRNA from 1 species
UUGAACGCUGGCGGCAUGCCUUACACAUGCAAGUCGAACGGCAGCACGGGUGCUUGUACCUGGUGGCGAGUGGCGAACGGGUGAGUAAUACAUCGGAACAUGUCCUGUAGUGGGGGAUAGCCCGGCGAAAGCCGGAUUAAUACCGCAUACGAUCUACGGAUGAAAGCGGGGGACCUUCGGGCCUCGCGCUAUAGGGUUGGCCGAUGGCUGAUUAGCUAGUUGGUGGGGUAAAGGCCUACCAAGGCGACGAUCAGUAGCUGGUCUGAGAGGACGACCAGCCACACUGGGACUGAGACACGGCCCAGACUCCUACGGGAGGCAGCAGUGGGGAAUUUUGGACAAAGGGCGAAAGCCUGAUCCAGCAAUGCCGCGUGUGUGAAGAAGGCCUUCGGGUUGUAAAGCACUUUUGUCCGGAAAGAAAUCCUUGGCCCUAAUACGGUCGGGGGAUGACGGUACCGGAAGAAUAAGCACCGGCUAACUACGUG